rnacentral:rRNA from 1 species
UACAGAGGGGGCAAGCGUUGUUCGGAAUUACUGGGCGUAAAGGGCGCGUAGGCGGCCUGUUAAGUCGAACGUGAAAUCCCCGGGCUCAACCCGGGAACUGCGUCCGAUACUGGCAGGCUUGAAUCCGGGAGAGGGAUGCGGAAUUCCAGGUGUAGCGGUGAAUGCGUAGAUAUCUGGAGGAACACCGGUGGCGAAGGCGGC